rnacentral:rRNA from 1 species
AACGAACGCUGGCGGCGUGCCUAACACAUGCAAGUCGUGCGAGAAAGUUCCUUCGGGAGCGAGUAAAGCGGCGCACGGGUGAGUAACACGUAGGUAACCUGCCCCCCAGUCUGGAACAACUAGAGGAAACUCUAGCUAAUGCCGGAUGAGACCACGAUCCCUUCGGGGGUUGCGGCCAAAGAUGGCCUCUACUUGUAAGCUAUCGCUGAGGGAUGGGCCUGCGGCCAUUAGCUUGUUGGUGAGGUAACGGCUCACCAAGGCUGUGAUGGCUAGCUGGUCUGAGAGGAUGACCAGCCACACUGGGACUGAGACACGGCCCAGACUCCUACGGGAGCAGCAGUGGGGAAUAUUGCGCAAUGGGCGAAGCCUGACGCAGCGACGCCGCGUGGGUGAUGAAGGCCUCGGUCGGU